UGGUUCUGGCAUCGAUGAAGAACGCAGCGAAAUGCGAUAAGUAAUGUGAAUUGCAGAAUUCAGUGAAUCAUCGAAUCUUUGAACGCACAUUGCGCCCUUUGGUAUUCCGAGGGGCAUGCCUGUUCGAGCGUCAUUCCAACCUUCAAGCACAGCUUGGUGUUGGGCGCAGGCCUUCCGAGGCCCGCCCGCAACCCGUCGGCGGUAGGGACCGUCCCCUGAGCGUAGCAGAUUUUUUUCGCUCCCGGGGCGCGGUUUUUCACCCGCCGGUGAAAUUUCAAUUCAAAAGUUUGACCUCGGAUCAGGUAGGGAUACCCGCUGA
rnacentral:misc_RNA from 1 species